AGUGAGGCUUUCGGACUGAUCUAAGGGAGGAGGCAACUCUUCCCCCUGGUCGGAAAGUUAUCCAAACUCGGUCAUUUAGAGGAAGUAAAAGUCGUAACAAGGUCUCCGUUGGUGAACCAGCGGAGGGAUCAUUACUGAGUUUACGCUCUACAACCCUUUGUGAACAUACCUACAACUGUUGCUUCGGCGGGUAGGGUCUCCGCGACCCUCCCGGCCUCCCGCCUCCGGGCGGGUCGGCG
rnacentral:rRNA from 1 species